rnacentral:lncRNA from 1 species
CUGAAUUGAAUUUUCAUAAUCUAGAAAAUAUUAAACUGCAGGAAAGUUUUCCUUGUUCAGUCCAAGAGAGUUUUGGCUGAGGGUGUUGCCUAUGAAUAUUUUCCUUUAAGAGUUUUGUUCUUUCUCUUGGGGCAAUUCUGUUAUUGUAGUUUAGAUUAGCUAUUAACUUAUUUCAAUUUAGCUUAGAAGGAAAGAACAGUGCCCCCAUGGCAGUUUGCUUGGGUUGAACUGCUGCCCCUGCGUAUCUGAGCACCACAGGGCUUUUUCCACAUUAAAAUGGAAGAUCUGUCUGCAGUGAUGUGAGCACAGCAGACAGGAGCAGAUACCUCUGUGGUCUACAACAAGAGAAGCUCUUUGUCCUGAGUGCAGCAGUGAGCAGAGAGGGACUGAGUCAUGUGGACCAUGGGCAGGCUCCUGGGACCUGCUUGAAUCCUGAGCAUGGCAACCCUUUGAAACAAGUAAAGAUUUUGGGCCUCUGAGAAGCCAAAAGGUGAUACAAGUGCAGAAAAUGAACCAGAAGGAAAGCAUCAGAAGUGAGAAAAAAACCAAACCUGUGUGACUCAGAUAUAACUUGG